UUUCCAUUCUCAGGAGGGAGCAAUGCAAGUUCUUCAUCCUCUGAGCCGAAAUCAGAAUCAGAAUAAUCUUCCUGUUCUUGGUCCUCCAUAGGAGCCUGAUAUCCCAAACAGUAAAUACUUCCAUUCUUCCCAUUGUGGGAGAGCUCAAAUUCCUUUUCAAACACAAGAUCAAAUGAUAUCUGAGGGAACUUCUCUGCAGAGAGAAUUCCCAGAACAAGCUUCUGGCCAUUAAUCUUCACGAAAAGAGUCACGUGUUCAUUUGCUUUGUCCUUCUUUAAUUCACCUAGAGUCGCCUGUGAUAGAUGCACACACAUUUGAUCUUCAGGCUUCACAGAUAGUGCCUGACCGGGCUUAACUUCAACACCCCAAAACUCCAUU
rnacentral:misc_RNA from 1 species